GGAAUCUUCGGCAAUGGGGGCGAACCCUGACCGAGCAACGCCGCGUGAGUGAAGAAGGUUUUCGGAUCGUAAAGCUCUGUUGUAAGAGAAGAACGUGUGUGAGAGUGGAAAGUUCACACAGUGACGGUAACUUACCAGAAAGGGACGGCUAACUACGUGCUAG
rnacentral:rRNA from 1 species